CCCCUGAUUUGCUUAUUGCACCACAUGUGUUUUUCUUUGAAACAAACUUGCUUUGGCGGUGGGCCCAGCCUGCCGCCAGAGGUCUAAACUUACAACCAAUUUUUUAUCAACUUGUCACACCAGAUUAUUACUUAAUAGUCAAAACUUUCAACAACGGAUCUCUUGGUUCUCGCAUCGAUGAAGAACGCAGCGAAAUGCGAUACGUAAUAUGAAUUGCAGAUAUUCGUGAAUCAUCGAAUCUUUGAACGCACAUUGCGCCCUCUGGUAUUCCGGAGGGCAUGCCUGUUUGAGCGUCGUUUCUCCCUCAAACCGCUGGGUUUGGUGUUGAGCAAUACGACUUGGGUUUGCUUGAAAGACGGUAGUGGUAAGGCGGGAUCGCUUUGACAAUGGCUUAGGUCUAACCAAAAACAUUGCUUGCGGCGGUAACGUCUACCACGUAUAUCUUCAAACUUUGACCUCAAAUCAGGUAGGACUACCCGCUGAACUUAAGCAUAUCAAUAGCCGGGAGGAA
rnacentral:rRNA from 1 species